rnacentral:piRNA from 1 species
UUAAUUCAUUGAUGUUGGUUU